UUGAGUUCUCCCUUCUCAUUAUCGUUGAACUUCUUACCUUCACCUCCCGCUUGCUCUUCCUGUCACCGGUAGCACACACCUGACCGGACUGGUGCUUUUCGGCAGCUGGAAGUGGGUCACCAUAAUUAGUUCUCUCUCAGCUGUCAAUUCGUGUUUCUCGGUCCAGAUUGAGCGUCUGUGCGUGUACCAGAAUUUCUGUCUUCUUCAACGUCGACCACGUGACGGACCUGAGCUGUUAUGGCUGCACCGAAGUUUGAGUCCAAGCUUAGGAGCAAUGAUUACUUGAUGACUUGACCAUUAGCGACUGCAAAGCAAAGAUGAAAAAGACACUAUAUUCAUUCUUUAAAAGAAAGAAUGUGGAAAUUUCACAACUUGAUGGGGGAUUAAGUUCUCUGCUGGAAAUUGAACAUCAACCUCCUAUUGAGGAGCUACUUCCCUAACAUCCUCCUUCAAAAAAUUCAAGAAUGCAGACUAAUGAAAAUUUUGAUAUCAACUCAUUACAACAUGAUCCAGGAUUGAGGAGACAAAUAUGGGAAUAUCCUAUUGAGAUGCGUGAUGAAGUUAGGAGAGCUUAUAUUAAAGCCGAUCCUUUUCAAUAUUUGUGUUCAAAUGAAUGCCCAUAUGCAUAUCAUGUAUAUUGUAUGGCAUAUCGUUUGCAAUUGGCAUUGGUUGCUGCAUUUAAAGAAGUUAUUCCUAUCGAUCAAUUUUUUUCUUCAUUGGGUACUACUGUUAAUAUUUUUGGUGCCUCUUGUAAGCACAAUAAUCAAUUAAAAAAUACUCAUGCUGAAAAUAUUGCCUAUUUACUUGAGAUUAAUGAGCUUGAAAGUGGAAGAGGGUUUAAUCAAAUUGGUUCUUUACAAAGGGCUAGGGACACUCGUUAGAGUUCUCAUUUGAAAUCUAUUUCAAGCUUGAUGAAAAUCUUUAGUGCUACAUGUGAAGUUUUGAUGAAUAUAAUUGAGGAUGGAACUACUGUUACUCAGCGUGCAGAUGCAGAUGUAGCUUAUGAGAUGCUAGCUUCCUUUAAGUUUGUUUUCAUCAUGCAUCUUAUGAAAGAAAUUUUAGAGAUUUCUAAUUUUCUUUGUCAAACUCUACAACUUCAAUAUUAAGAUAUUGUGAAUGCAAUACAUCUUGUUUCAUCUACUAAGCUUCUUAUUCAUAAAUUAAGAGAUGAUAGAUGGAAAGAGUUAGUUGUGAAGGUAAAAUAUUUUUGUGAAUUAGUCAAUAUUCCUGUUCCUGAUUUUAAUGCUCAUUAUAUUAGUAAAAGAGGAAGGCUCGCCAUCAACAAGAUGAAUUUACAAUCGGGCAUCAUUAUAAAGUUGACAUUUUCAAUGCAAUGAUAGACUCUUAAUUACAAGAAUUGAAUUAAAAAUUUAAUAAUGAUGUGGUGGAGUUGCUUAUUCUUAGCUCAGCUUUGGAUCCAAAGGGAAAUGUGAAUAUUGUUUAUAAUUGAGGAUAUUUGCAAGAUGGUAGAAAAGUUCUAUCUACAAGAUUUUUUGGCACAUGAAAUGCUACAAUUAAAGAUACAAUUUGAGCAUUUUGGCUAUGUCAUACAACUUCUUGAUUUUCAAACAUUGGUUACCAUUUCUGAUUUAUGUCAAUGGUUGGUGAAAACAUGAAAAUCAAAAAUUUAUCUUCUUGUAUAUGGAGUUGUGACUUUGAUUCUCACUCUUCCAGUUUCUACAGCUACAAUAGAGCAAUCUUUUUCAGCUAUGAGCACUAUUAAGACCAUGCUUCGCAACAAGAUGCAUGAGGGAUACCUUUCUGAUUCUUUGCUUUUGUAUAUUAAAAAAAGAAUUGUUAAAAAAUUUGAUAUAGAAUCUCUUGUAGAUGAUUUUAAUGAC